GGAUCAUUAAAGUUUGCUUAAUUGCAUUUACACAUGUUUUUUUAGAGAACUUGCUUGCAAGAACACUAAUAAUUUACUUAGUCAACCAAUAUAAAUAUCAAAACUUUCAACAACGGAUCUCUUGGUUCUCGCAUCGAUGAAGAACGCAGCGAAAUGCGAUACGUAAUAUGAAUUGCAGAUUUUCGUGAAUCAUCGAAUCUUUGAACGCACAUUGCGCCCUGUGGUAUUCCACAGGGCAUGCCUGUUUGAGCGUCAUUUCUCCCUCAAACCUCUGGUUUGGCGUUGAGUGAUACUCGGUUUACUUGAAAUACAUGAAAAGCAUAACUAUUAGGUUUUACCAACUCGUUAUACUAAUCUACAAGUUUGACCUCAAAUCAGGUAGGACUACCCGCUGAACUUAAGCAUAUCAA
rnacentral:sRNA from 1 species